rnacentral:rRNA from 1 species
AAACGGCCGGGGGCGCGGGUGCUGUACAUGCAAGUCGAGCGGACAGAAGGGAGCUUGCUCCCGGAUGUUAGCGGCGGACGGGUGAGUAACACGUGGGUAACCUGCCUGUAAGACUGGGAUAACUCCGGGAAACCGGAGCUAAUACCGGAUAGUUCCUUGAACCGCAUGGUUCAAGGAUGAAAGACGGUUUCGGCUGUCACUUACAGAUGGACCCGCGGCGCAUUAGCUAGUUGGUGGGGUAAUGGCUCACCAAGGCGACGAUGCGUAGCCGACCUGAGAGGGUGAUCGGCCACACUGGGACUGAGACACGGCCCAGACUCCUACGGGAGGCAGCAGUAGGGAAUCUUCCGCAAUGGACGAAAGUCUGACGGAGCAACGCCGCGUGAGUGAUGAAGGUUUUCGGAUCGUAAAGCUCUGUUGUUAGGGAAGAACAAGUGCGAGAGUAACUGCUCGCACCUUGACGGUACCUAACCAGAAAGCCACGGCUAACUACGUGCCAGCAGCCGCGGUAAUACGUAGGUGGCAAGCGUUGUCCGGAAUUAUUGGGCGUAAAGGGCUCGCAGGCGGUUUCUUAAGUCUGAUGUGAAAGCCCCCGGCUCAACCGGGGAGGGUCAUUGGAAACUGGGAAACUUGAGUGCAGAAGAGGAGAGUGGAAUUCCACGUGUAGCGGUGAAAUGCGUAGAGAUGUGGAGGAACACCAGUGGCGAAGGCGACUCUCUGGUCUGUAACUGACGCUGAGGAGCGAAAGCGUGGGGAGCGAACAGGAUUAGAUACCCUGGUAGUCCACGCCGUAAACGAUGAGUGCUAAGUGUUAGGGGGUUUCCGCCCCUUAGUGCUGCAGCUAACGCAUUAAGCACUCCGCCUGGGGAGUACGGUCGCAAGACUGAAACUCAAAGGAAUUGACGGGGGCCCGCACAAGCGGUGGAGCAUGUGGUUUAAUUCGAAGCAACGCGAAGAACCUUACCAGGUCUUGACAUCCUCUGACAACCCUAGAGAUAGGGCUUUCCCUUCGGGGACAGAGUGACAGGUGGUGCAUGGUUGUCGUCAGCUCGUGUCAUAUG